rnacentral:rRNA from 1 species
UACGAAGGGGGCUAGCGUUGUUCGGAAUCACUGGGCGUAAAGCGCACGUAGGCGGAUCUUUAAGUCAGGGGUGAAAUCCCGAGGCUCAACCUCGGAACUGCCUUUGAUACUGGGGAUCUCGAGUCCGGGAGAGGUGAGUGGAACUGCGAGUGUAGAGGUGAAAUUCGUAGAUAUUCGCAAGAACACCAGUGGCGAAGGCGGCUCACUGGCCCGGUACUGACGCUGAGGUGGCGAAAGCGUGGGGAGCAA